AGGAACUCUCAAAGUUGAGACAGGAAAUAUAUUCAUCCCAUAACCAACCCUCCAGUGUUGGAAGGACAACAAUCACCACAAAAAAGUACAGGACACAAUAUCCAAUCCUAGGUCUCCUGUAUGAUGACUAUGAAUAUAUACCACCAGGAAGUGACACACAGACUAUCGUGAUUGAGAAAACUGAAGAUAAAUGGACUCAUCCAUGAAUGGAUCCACUUUUCAGGACUACAAUUCAAAGGAAAUUUUCUGUCUGCAUCAGUAUUUUAAUAGUUAUUUUCUAUUGCUAAAGCACAAUCAAAUUGUGAACCAUAGUCCUAUCCCAAUCAAUCUAAUAAGAUGAUUUAAUUAUGAAGAUGAGUUCCCCCAG